rnacentral:tRNA from 1 species
GUGACUAUGUCAGAAUUAUAUGAGUUAGCUUUAAGCGUUAAUUAUGGGGAUAUCCCCUAGUCACU